rnacentral:rRNA from 1 species
UACGGAGGGUGCGAGCGUUGUCCGGAAUCACUGGGCGUAAAGAGCGCGUAGGCGGUCUGUUAAGUGUAGAGUGAAAGCUCCGGGCUCAACUCGGAAAUUGCUCUGCAUACUGGCAGACUUGAGGAUGGAAGAGGUUUGUGGAAUUCCUGGUGUAGCGGUGAAAUGCGUAGAUAUCAGGAAGAACAUCGGUGGCGAAGGCGCUCUGCUGGACCAUAACUGACACUCAGGGACGAAAGCUAGGGGAGCGAAUGGG